AGUGAACGCUGGCGGUAGGCCUAACACAUGCAAGUCGAACGGCAGCACAGGAGAGCUUGCUCUCUGGGUGGCGAGUGGCGGACGGGUGAGGAAUACAUCGGAAUCUACUUUUUCGUGGGGGAUAACGUAGGGAAACUUACGCUAAUACCGCAUACGACCUACGGGUGAAAGCAGGGGACCUUCGGGCCUUGCGCGAUUGAAUGAGCCGAUGUCGGAUUAGCUAGUUGGCGGGGUAAAGGCCCACCAAGGCGACGAUCCGUAGCUGGUCUGAGAGGAUGAUCAGCCACACUGGAACUGAGACACGGUCCAGACUCCUACGGGAGGCAGCAGUGGGGAAUAUUGGACCAUGGGCGCAAGCCUGAUCCAGCCAUACCGCGUGGGUGAAGAAGGCCUUCGGGUUGUAAAGCCCUUUUGUUGGGAAAGGAAUCCAGCUGGCUAAUACCCGGUUGGGAUGACGGUACCCAAAGAAUAAGCACCGGCUAACUUCGUGCCAGCCGCCGCCGCGG
rnacentral:rRNA from 1 species